GAUGAACGCUGGCGGCGUGCUUAACACAUGCAAGUCGAACGAUGAAGCUCAGCUUGCUGGGUGGAUUAGUGGCGAACGGGUGAGUAACACGUGAGUAACCUGCCCUUAACUCUGGGAUAAGCCUGGGAAACUGGGUCUAAUACCGGAUAGGAGCGUCCACCGCAUGGUGGGUGUUGGAAAGAUUUAUCGGUUUUGGAUGGACUCGCGGCCUAUCAGCUUGUUGGUGAGGUAAUGGCUCACCAAGGCGACGACGGGUAGCCGGCCUGAGAGGGUGACCGGCCACACUGGGACUGAGACACGGCCCAGACUCCUACGGGAGGCAGCAGUGGGGAAUAUCGCACAAUGGGCGCAAGCCUGAUGCAGCGACGCCGCGUGAGGGAUGACGGCCUUCGGGUUGUAAACCUCUUUCAGUAGGGAAGAAGCGAAAGUGACGGUACCUGCAGAAGAAGCACCGGCUAACUACGUG
rnacentral:rRNA from 1 species